UACGUAGGGGGCAAGCGUUAUCCGGAAUCACUGGGCGUAAAGGGUGCGUAGGCGGACUUUCAAGCCAGGGGUGAAAGGCAUAGGCUUAACCAAUGUAAGCCUUUGGAACUGGGAGUCUUGAGUGCAGGAGAGGUAAGUGGAAUUCCUAGUGUAGAGGUGAAAUUCGUAGAUAUUAGGAGGAACACCGGUGGCGAAGGCGACUUACUGGACUGUAACUGACGCUGAGGCACGAAAGCGUGGGUAGC
rnacentral:rRNA from 1 species